GACGAACCGUGCGAACGUUGUUCGGAUUCACUGGGCUUAAAGGGCGCGUAGGCGGCGAUUCAAGUCCGGGGUGAAAGCUUUCGGCUCAACCGGAAAAGUGCCUUGGAUACUGGAUCGCUCGAGGGGGGUAGGGGCAGGCGGAACUUCCGGUGGAGCGGUGAAAUGCGUAGAUAUCGAGAGGAACACCGGUGGCGAAGGCGGCUUUCUGGACGGUUACUGACGCUGAGACGCGAAAGCGUGGGGAGCAAACAGG
rnacentral:rRNA from 1 species